GGAAUAUUGGUCAAUGGGCGCAAGCCUGAACCAGCCAUGCCGCGUGCAGGAAGACGGUCCUAUGGAUUGUAAACUGCUUUUAUACAGGAAGAAACCUCCCUACGUGUAGGGACUUGACGGUACUGUAGGAAUAAGGAUCGGCUAACUCCGUGCCAGCAGCCGCGGUAAUACGGAGGAUCCAAGCGUUAUCCGGAAUCAUUGGGUUUAAAGGGGCCGUAGGCGGUUUAGUAAGUCAGUGGUGAAAGCCCAUCGAUCAACGGUGGAACGGCCAUUGAUACUGCUAGACUUGAAUUAUUAGGAAGUAACUAGAAUAUGUAGUGUAGCGGUGAAAUGCUUAGAGAUUACAUGGAAUACCAAUUGCGAAGGCAGGUUACUACUAAUAUAUUGACGCUGAUGGACGAAAGCGUGGGUAGCGAAC
rnacentral:rRNA from 1 species